rnacentral:misc_RNA from 1 species
ACAUCUGUCACUGUGAGCUACAGCAACAAUGUCAUUGGUGGGAGACAGGGAGAUCACACACUCCUGCAGCCACUGAUGUUUGUCAUCAGGUUCACGGCCGUCUGGGAUGUCUGGGUCCUCCCCUCCUUCCUCUCCCCAUGAUCCCCAGUCCUCAUCCCAGCCAUCGUUUUCUGUACAAAGAAUUUGAUUAUCAUUUUAUUAGUGCAGCUGAUCAGGAUACAUGGAUUACAAAUACAACUACUAUAAUUGAUCAUCCCCAAUCAAAGCAGAGUCUGGCCAUGCAAUGUUUACCUGAAACUUCAUUUGAAACUGGUGGUUCAGACCUCAGCUCGGGAAAAAGGAAGUUUCUUACUGAUGUAAUGUUAUGAAAGUCAGCAAAUACGUUAAGUUGACAGGACAUUGUGGAAGAACAAAUGAUUAAACAAUCUCUUCUUCUUCAUCCCACGUCAGACACGAUCAUGUUUACAUAAAAAGUAGAGAGACUUCCGAAUUUAUAUUCCGAAAUACUACUUCCGGUGUAAAUAUCAAGUUCAACUUGACGUUGGCGCAAAUUCCAAAUUCUACAAAGUGGAGAGGAUCACAAGACGUGUAGAGUUAAGCGAAUGAAUACUGUAGAAGAUUUGGAUGUAAAUCCCAAGAUCAAGACAUCUAUGAGGAAAGUUGGACUGACAUCAUAUGGACAAAUUCUGACUCUUUCUUCACAAGACAUAGAGAGACUGGCUAAACUGAGCCAGGGGGAAGUGACAGGACUGAAAACUGCUAUAGCACAGCAAGUAUUGACUCACCCUCUGUUGACAGCUCUUGACCUACAAAGAGGUACAAAAAAUUGUCUACAGAAUCUGAUAAUUGGUAAACUUUCUACAGGAUGCAAGCAAAUUGAUGAUGCAUUAAGAGGAGGGAUAUUAUCCCAAGGUAUCACUGAGAUAUCUGGGGAGAGUGCCAGUGGGAAGACCCAGUUCUGUCUCCAGCUGUGUCUAACCGUACAGCUUCCUCCAGAGGAAGGGGGUCUGGCAGCAGGAGCUGCAUACAUCUGUACAGAGGAUGCCUUUCCCAGUAAACGACUGAGCCAGAUGAUCAGCUAUUUCAGGCAGCGGUCAGAGAAACGCAAACAGAUUCCUUUCGGAGACAAUAUCUUCAUUGAGCACGUAGCUGACCUGUUUGAACUCGUGCAUACAUCAGAAGCUGCCCCACCUGCUGUCCAGUGGUAGUGUUAAACUAGUGAUUGUGGAUUCCGUGGCUGCAGUGUUUCGGUGUGACUACGAGCUAAAGGACAUGUACAAACGUUCAAAACACAUGGCUUCUUUGGCUGCCAGUCUACAUCGAAUCAGCUCCAAAUACUGUCUACCCAUUGUGUGUGUUAAUCAGGUGACAGAUUCCAUGCAGAGUAUAGGCAAGAAAAAUAUCCCGGCCCUUGGACUGGCCUGGUCCAAUCAGAUCACCUGUCGACUCAGUCUAUCCCGGACUAAUCGGGAAGUGGACCUUCCCCGGAUCAUCCUCAAAGGAUCAGUAAUUGGGGGAUUCCCCACCUCUAUCCGGACCUUGGAAGUAGUGUUUGCUCCGAAUCUCCCCAACCUUUCACUGAUGUAUGUAAUUGAUCAGGAGGGGAUCAAGGCCUUAACAUAGCAACAACAUGUUAUAUAUAUAUAUAUUGAUGUAAUGUAUAUAAUGUUUAUGAAUUUGUUCCUUUGUAUGUUUCUUGGUUUCAUGUUUUCAGUCACAUAAAAGAACAAAAAAAG